UUGCGCUAUUGGAUGAGCCUAUGUCGGAUUAGUUAGUUGGGUGGGGUAAAGGCCGUACCAAGGCAGCGAUCCGUAGCUGGUCUUAGAGGAUGAUCAGCCACAUCGGGACUGAGACACGGUCCGAACUCCUACGGGAGGCAGCAGUGGGGAAUAUUGCACAAUGGGGCGCAAGCCUGAUGCAGCUAUGCCGCGUGUGUGAAGAAGGCCUUAGGGUUGUAAAGCACUUUCAGUAGUGAGGAAAAGUGUUGCGUUAAUAGCGCAAUGCUGUGACGUUAGCUACAGAAGAAGGACCGGCAAACUCCGUG
rnacentral:rRNA from 1 species